rnacentral:rRNA from 1 species
GAUGAACGCUGGCGGCGUGCCUAAUACAUGCAAGUCGAGCGAACAGACGAGGAGCUUGCUCCUCUGACGUUAGCGGCGGACGGGUGAGUAACACGUGGAUAACCUACCUAUAAGACUGGGAUAACUUCGGGAAACCGGAGCUAAUACCGGAUAAUAUAUUGAACCGCAUGGUUCAAUAGUGAAAGACGGUUUUGCUGUCACUUAUAGAUGGAUCCGCGCCGCAUUAGCUAGUUGGUAAGGUAACGGCUUACCAAGGCAACGAUGCGUAGCCGACCUGAGAGGGUGAUCGGCCACACUGGAACGGAGACACGGUCCAGACUCCUACGGGAGGCAGCAGUAGGGAAUCUUCCGCAAUGGGCGAAAGCCUGGCGGAGCAACGCCGCGUGAGUGAUGAAGGUCUUCGGAUCGUAAAACUCUGUUAUUAGGGAAGAACAAAUGUGUAAGUAACUAUGCACGUCUUGACGGUACCUAAUCAGAAAGCCACGGCUAACUACGUG